rnacentral:rRNA from 1 species
CUCUUCGGAGGAGAGCGGCGGACGGGUGAGUAACGCGUGGGUAACCUGCCCUGUACACACGGAUAACAUACCGAAAGGUAUGCUAAUACGAGAUAAUAUGCUUUUAUCGCAUGGUAGAAGUAUCAAAGCUUUUGCGGUACAGGAUGGACCCGCGUCUGAUUAGCUAGUUGGUGAGGUAACGGCUCACCAAGGCGACGAUCAGUAGCCGACCUGAGAGGGUGAUCGGCCACAUUGGAACUGAGACACGGUCCAAACUCCUACGGGAGGCAGCAGUGGGGAAUAUUGCACAAUGGGCGAAAGCCUGAUGCAGCAACGCCGCGUGAGCGAUGAAGGCCUUCGGG